AACGAACGCUGGCGGCAUGCCUAACACAUGCAAGUCGAACGGGAUCCUAGCUUGCUAGGUGAGAGUGGCGGACGGGUGAGUAACACGUGGGAAUCUGCCUUUUUGGUUCGGGAUAACCGCGGGAAACUGCGGCUAAUACCGAAUGCCCUCGAGAGAGGAAAGAUUUAUCGCCAGAAGAGGAGCCCGCGUCCGAUUAGGUAGUUGGUGGGGUAAAGGCCUACCAAGCCGACGAUCGGUAGCUGGUCUGAGAGGAUGAUCAGCCACACUGGGACUGAGAUACGGCCCAGACUCCUACGGGAGGCAGCAGUGGGGAAUAUUGGACAAUGGGGGCAACCCUGAGUCCAGCAAUCG
rnacentral:rRNA from 1 species